UACGUAGGGUGCGAGCGUUAAUCGGAAUUACUGGGCGUAAAGCGUGCGCAGGCGGUUCGUUGUGUCCGUCGUGAAAGCCCCGGGCUUAACCUGGGAACUGCGAUGGAAACUAGCGAGCUGGAGUGUGGCAGAGGGGGGUGGAAUUCCGCGUGUAGCAGUGAAAUGCGUAGAGAUGCGGAGGAACACCGAUGGCGAAGGCGGCCCGCUGGGCAACUGCUGACACUGAUGCGCGACAGCGUGGGGAGCAAACAGG
rnacentral:rRNA from 1 species